rnacentral:rRNA from 1 species
UACAAUGCACGUCGAACGAUGGAAACCGCUGUCGGAUCGGUGGAUUAGUGGCGUUCGGGUGAGUACACGUGGGCAAUCUGCCCUUCACUCUGGGACAAGCCCUGGAAACGGGGUCUAAUACCGGAUAAUACUCCUGCCUGCAUGGGUGGGGGUUGAAAGCUCCGGCGGUGAAGGAUGAGCCCGCGGCCUAUCAGCUUGUUGGUGGGGUAAUGGCCUACCAAGGCGACGACGGGUAGCCGGCCUGAGAGGGCGACCGGCCACACUGGGACUGAGACACGGCCCAGACUCCUACGGGAGGCAGCAGUGGGGAAUAUUGCACAAUGGGCGAAAGCCUGAUGCAGCGACGCCGCGUGAGGGAUGACGGCCUUCAGGGUUGUAAACCUCUUUCAGCAGGGAUGAAGCGCAAGUGACGGUACCUGCAGAAAAAGCGCCGGCUAACUACGUGCCAGCAGCCGCGGUAAUACGUAGGGCGCAAGCGUUGUCCGGAAUUAUUGGGCGUAAAGAGCUCGUAGGCGGCUGUUCCGUCCG